rnacentral:rRNA from 1 species
UACGUAGGGGGCGAGCGUUGUCCGGAUUUAUUGGGCGUAAAAGGCUUGUAGGUGGCCACGGCAAGUCGGAUGUGAAAUCUCCCGGCUCAACUGGGAGGGGUCAUUCGAUACUGCCGGGCUCGAGGCCGGUAGGGGGAAGCGGAAUUCCCGGUGUAGUGGUGGAAUGCGUAGAUAUCGGGAGGAACACCAGAGGCGAAGGCGGCUUCCUGGACCGGUCCUGACACUGAGGAGCGAAAGCGUGGGGAGCGAACAGG